rnacentral:rRNA from 1 species
UACAGAGGAUGCAAGCGUUAUCCGGAAUGAUUGGGCGUAAAGCGUCUGUAGGUGGCUUUUUAAGUCCGCCGUCAAAUCCCAGGGCUCAACUCUGGACAGGCGGUGGAAACUACCAAGCUGGAGUACGGUAGGGGCAGAGGGAAUUUCCGGUGGAGCGGUGAAAUGCGUAGAGAUCCGGAAGAACACCGGUGGCGAAGGCGGUCUGCUGGGCCAAGACUGACGCUGAGGCGCGACAGCGUGGGGAGCAAACAGG